GGCGAGAUGGCCGAGCGGUCUAAGGCGCCAGACUAAGGUGGUCACUUCGCAGUGUCACGCAAUCUGGUCCUCACGGGCGUGGGUUCGAAUCCCACUCUCGUCA